AUUGAACGCUGGCGGCAUGCUUUACACAUGCAAGUCGGACGGCAGCACAGAGAAGCUUGCUUCUUGGGUGGCGAGUGGCGAACGGGUGAGUAACAUAUCGGAACGUACCGAGCAGUGGGGGAUAACUAAUCGAAAGAUUAGCUAAUACCGCAUAUCUUCUGAGGAAGAAAGCAGGGGACCAUUUGGCCUUGCGCUGUUUGAGCGGCCGAUAUCUGAUUAGCUAGUUGGUGGGGUAAAGGCCUACCAAGGCGACGAUCAGUAGCGGGUCUGAGAGGAUGAUCCGCCACACUGGGACUGAGACACGGCCCAGACUCCUACGGGAGGCAGCAGUGGGGAAUUUUGGACAAUGGGCGCAAGCCUGAUCCAGCCAUGCCGCGUGUCUGAAGAAGGCCUUCGGGUUGUAAAGGACUUUUGUCAGGGAAGAAAAGGGCGGGGUUAAUACCCCUGUCUGAUGACGGUACCUGAAGAAUAGGCACCGGCUAACUACGUG
rnacentral:rRNA from 1 species